rnacentral:rRNA from 1 species
CACGUAGGUGGCAUGGUAAGUCAAAGGUGAAAGCCCUCGGCUCAACCGAGGAACUGCCUUUGAAACUGCUUUGCUUGAGUCCGGGAGGGGGGAGCGGAAUUCCCAGUGUAGCGGUGAAAUGCGUAGAUACUGGGAGGAACACCGGCGGCGAAGGCGGCUCCCUGGACCGGUACUGACACUGAGGUGCGAAAGCGUGGGUAGCAAACA